rnacentral:rRNA from 1 species
UACGGAGGAUCCAAGCGUUAUCCGGAUUUAUUGGGUUUAAAGGGUGCGUAGGCGGCUUAUUAAGUCAGGGGUGAAAGGCGGUAGCUUAACUAUCGGAGUGCCUUUGAUACUGAUGAGCUUGAAUACAGUUGAGGUAGGCGGAAUGUGACAAGUAGCGGUGAAAUGCAUAGAUAUGUCACAGAACACCGAUUGCGAAGGCAGCUUACUAAAAGUGUAAUUGACGCUGAGGCACGAAAGCGUGGGGAUCAAACAGGA